rnacentral:rRNA from 1 species
GAUGAACGCUGGCGGCGUGCCUAAUACAUGCAAGUCGAGCGAACGGACGAGAAGCUUGCUUCUCUGAUGUUAGCGGCGGACGGGUGAGUAACACGUGGAUAACCUACCCAUAAGACUGGGAUAACUUCGGGAAACCGGAGCUAAUACCGGAUAAUAUUUUGAACCGCAUGGUUCAAAAGUGAAAGACGGUCUUGCUGUCACUUAUAGAUGGAUCCGCGCUGCAUUAGCUAGUUGGUAAGGUAACGGCUUACCAAGGCAACGAUGCAUAGCCGACCUGAGAGGGUGAUCGGCCACACUGGAACUGAGACACGGUCCAGACUCCUACGGGAGGCAGCAGUAGGGAAUCUUCCGCAAUGGGCGAAGGCCUGACGGAGCAACGCCGCGUGAGUGAUGAAGGUCUUCGGAUCGUAAAACUCUGUUAUUAGGGAAGAACAUAUGUGUAAGUAACUGUGCACAUCUUGACGGUACCUAAUCAGAAAGCCACGGCUAACUACGUGCCAGCAGCCGCGGUAAUACGUAGGUGGCAAGCGUUAUCCGGAAUUAUUGGGCGUNAAGCGCGCGUAGGCGGUUUUUUAAGUCUGAUGUGAAAGCCCACGGCUCAACCGUGGAGGGUCAUUGGAAACUGGAAAACUUGAGUGCAGAAGAGGAAAGUGGAAUUCCAUGUGUAGCGGUGAAAUGCGCAGAGAUAUGGAGGAACACCAGUGGCGAAGGCGACUUUCUGGUCUGUAACUGACGCUGAUGUGCGAAAGCGUGGGGAUCAAACAGGAUUAGAUACCCUGGUAGUCCACGCCGUAAACGAUGAGUGCUAAGUGUUAGGGGGUUUCCGCCCCUUAGUGCUGCAGCUAACGCAUUAAGCACUCCGCCUGGGGAGUACGACCGCAAGGUUGAAACUCAAAGGAAUUGACGGGGACCCGCACAAGCGGUGGAGCAUGUGGUUUAAUUCGAAGCAACGCGAAGAACCUUACCAAAUCUUGACAUCCUUUGACAACUCUAGAGAUAGAGCCUUCCCCUUCGGGGGACAAAGUGACAGGUGGUGCAUGGUUGUCGUCAGCUCGUGUCGUGAGAUGUUGGGUUAAGUCCCGCAACGAGCGCAACCCUUAAGCUUAGUUGCCAUCAUUAAGUUGGGCACUCUAAGUUGACUGCCGGUGACAAACCGGAGGAAGGUGGGGAUGACGUCAAAUCAUCAUGCCCCUUAUGAUUUGGGCUACACACGUGCUACAAUGGACAAUACAAAGGGCAGCGAAACCGCGAGGUCAAGCAAAUCCCAUAAAGUUGUUCUCAGUUCGGAUUGUAGUCUGCAACUCGACUACAUGAAGCUGGAAUCGCUAGUAAUCGUAGAUCAGCAUGCUACGGUGAAUACGUUCCCGGGUCU